rnacentral:rRNA from 1 species
GACGAACGCUGGCGGCGUGCUUAACACAUGCAAGUCGAACGGAAAGGCCCUGCUUUUGUGGGUUGCUCGAGUGGCGAACGGGUGAGUAACACGUGAGUAACCUGCCCUUGACUUUGGGAUAACUUCAGGAAACUGGGGCUAAUACCGGAUAGGAGCUCCUGCUGCAUGGUGGGGGUUGGAAAGUUUCGGCGGUUGGGGAUGGACUCGCGGCUUAUCAGCUUGUUGGUGGGGUAGUGGCUUACCAAGGCUUUGACGGGUAGCCGGCCUGAGAGGGUGACCGGCCACAUUGGGACUGAGAUACGGCCCAGACUCCAACGGGAGGCAGCAGUGGCGAAUAUUGCACAAUGGGCGGAAGGCUGAUGCAGCAACGCCGCGUGCGGGAUGACGGCCUUCGGGUUGUAAACCGCUUUCGCCUGAGACGAAGCGUGAGUGACGGUAAUGGGUAAAGAAGCACCGGCUAACUACGUG